UAAGUCUCAGUCCGGAUUGAAGGCUGAAAUUCGCCUUCAUGAAGCCGGAAUUGCUAGUAAUGGCAGGUCAGCAUACUGCCGUGAAUACGUUCCCGGGCCUUGUACACACCGCCCGUCACACCAUGAGAGUUGGGAAUACCCGAAGCCUGUGAGCUAACUUUUAGAGGCAGCAGUCGAAGGUAGAAUCAAUGAUUGGGGUGAAGUCGUAACAAGGUAAC
rnacentral:rRNA from 1 species